GAAAAAAAAAUCAGAGGGUGGCAUGCCAUUAAUCACGGAGAAUAAAGGCAACUCCUUGACGUGUAGCUCUUUCCUCUGCAAAGAUCCAGCAUCAGAACUGGCCUGCGAAGGCUGAUGUCUGGGCUUCCUCGUCUGAACGUGGGCUCCAGUUUGGAAGCUGUUUCUCGAGAUUUCUUUCCUAAACAAAAGCAAGCUGCCAGCUGCAGAUUCUGGUGGGGAUCUCUACAUCCUACAAACCUGCCAGGGAUGUAACUUCAACUUCAUCAGGAUAUUGAAGUGAUGCGGUGUUACACAAGUGCAGAAGAGUUUUGGACGUCAGUCAGUCAAGCUGAAGCACUAGAGGAGCCUGACUAAUGCAGUUGUGAAGCACAUGGGAUAAGUGGUUCACAGAAGCUCUGGUCUCUAGAUUGACAGAUAAUUUUUAUUUGACAGAAUUCUGGAGGGGAUGGUGGAUGAGUCUUAAGUCCUUAACAUCUAAUUCAAUAUAAUUAAAGAACUUGAAUCAUUGACUUGGGAGAAGUGACUUACUGCCAUUAGUAAAAAAAGAAGAAACUUGAAUGUUCAAGCCAAACUUAACCCUGAACUGGGCACUGUGGAGCUGACAAAACUGUCAAGCCAAUUUAUCUGGAAGCUGAAGUUUGUAGAGCAAAAGCCAAGAGCCCUUCUAGGUUGAUGUUCACAAGAAGCAGAAGAAACACCUUUGUCUCCAAAGUAGGAUCCUUCUUAACCUUGAAAUCUCACCUAAUGAGAAGAAUAGUUAACCCAGGAACAAAUGAGCGCCGGGCGGUGGUCGCGCACGCCUUUAAUCCCAGCACUCGGGAGGCAGAGGCAGGCGGAUCUCUGUGAGUUCGAGGCCGGGCUGGACCGAUAGC